rnacentral:rRNA from 1 species
AGUACAGGAUGGACCCGCGUCUGAUUAGCUAGUUGGUAAGGUAACGGCUUACCAAGGCGACGAUCAGUAGCCGACCUGAGAGGGUGAUCGGCCACAUUGGAACUGAGACACGGUCCAAACUCCUACGGGAGGCAGCAGUGGGGAAUAUUGCACAAUGGGCGAAAGCCUGAUGCAGCAACGCCGCGUGAGUGAUGAAGGCCUUCGGGUCGUAAAACUCUGUCCUCAAGGAAGAUAAUGACGGUACUUGAGGAGGAAGCCCCGGCUAACUACGUGCCAGCAGCCGCGGUAAUACGUAGGGGGCUAGCGUUAUCCGGAUUUACUGGGCGUAAAGGGUGCGUAGGCGGUCUUUCAAGUCAGGAGUGAAAGGCUACGGCUCAACCGUAGUAAGCUCUUGAAACUGGGAGACUUGAGUGCAGGAGAGGAGAGUGGAAUUCCUAGUGUAGCGGUG